GAGUUUGAUCGUGGCUCAGAUUGAACGCUGGCGGCAUGCCUUACACAUGCAAGUCGAACGGCAGCACGGGAGCUUGCUCCUGGUGGCGAGUGGCGAACGGGUGAGUAAUGCAUCGGAACGUAUCCUGGAGUGGGGGAUAACGUAGCGAAAGUUACGCUAAUACCGCAUAUUCUGUGAGCAGGAAAGCGGGGGACCUUCGGGCCUCGCGCUCUUGGAGCGGCCGAUGUCGGAUUAGCUAGUUGGUGAGGUAAAGGCUCACCAAGGCGACGAUCCGUAGCAGGUCUGAGAGGAUGAUCUGCCACACUGGAAUUGAGACACGGUCCAGACUCCUACGGGAGGCAGCAGUGGGGAAUUUUGGACAAUGGGGGCAACCCUGAUCCAGCCAUGCCGCGUGAGUGAAGAAGGCCUCGG
rnacentral:rRNA from 1 species